GGGUAAUCCCGGGCACUCUAGAGAGACUGCCAGCAUAAGCUGGAGGAAGGUGGGGAUGACGUCAAGUCAGCAUGGGCCCUUACGUCCAGGGCUACACACGUGCUACAAUGGCCGGUACAAAGGGCAGCCAACCCGCGAGGGGGAGCGAAUCUCAAAAAACCGGUCUCAGUUCGGAUUGUAGGCUGCAACUCGCCUACAUGAAGUCGGAAUCCCUAGUAACCGCAGAUCAGCUACGCUGCGGUGAAUACGUUCCCGGGCCUUGUACACACCGCCCGUCACGUUAUGAAAGUUUGUUGUACCCGAAGUCGCUGGGCUAACCGCAAGGAGGCAGGCGCCGAAGGUAUGAUAGAUGAUUGGAACGAAGUCGUAACAAGGUA
rnacentral:rRNA from 1 species